GAUAAACGCUGGCGGCGCACAUAAGACAUGCAAGUCGAACGGAAGUCGUUAUAAAAAGGAUUGAAGAUUUAUCUGAUUGAGAUUUUAUAACAAUGGCUUUAGUGGCGGACUGGUGAGUAACGCGUGAGCAACCUGCCUACUAGAGGGGAAUAACAGUGAGAAAUCAUUGCUAAUACCGCAUAUGCCAUGAACAUCACAUGAUGAAAAUGGGAAAAGAGUAAUCUGCUAGUAGAUGGGCUCGCGUCUGAUUAGAUAGUUGGUGGGGUAACGGCCUACCAAGUCAACGAUCAGUAGCCGGACUGAGAGGUUGAACGGCCACAUUGGGACUGAGAUACGGCCCAGACUCCUACGGGAGGCAGCAGUCGGGAAUAUUGCGCAAUGGAGGAAACUCUGACGCAGUGACGCCGCGUAUAGGAAGAAGGUUUUCGGAUUGUAAACUAUUGUCGUUAGGGAAGAUACAAGACAGUAC
rnacentral:rRNA from 1 species